rnacentral:tRNA from 2 species
AGCAGCUUGGCGCAGUGGAAGCGCGGUACGUUUACACAACUACUCUUCAAGUUACGCACAAAUGACUAACAUGUCACAGCCGGGCUCAUAACCCGGAGGUCACUGGAUCGAAACCAGUAGCUGCUA